AACGAACGCUGGCGGCAGGCCUAACACAUGCAAGUCGAACGCCGUAGCAAUACGGAGUGGCAGACGGGUGAGUAACACGUGGGAACGUACCCUUCGGUUCGGGAUAACUCAGGGAAACUUGAGCUAAUACCGGAUACGUCCGAGAGGAGAAAGAUUUAUUGCCGAGGGAUCGGCCCGCGUCUGAUUAGCUUGUUGGUGAGGUAACGGCUCACCAAGCCUUCGAUCAGUAACUGGUGUGAGAGCACGACCAGUCACACGGGCACUGAGACACGGGCCCGACUCCUACGGGAGGCAGCAGUAAGGAAUAUUGGUCAAUGGACGCAAGUCUGAACCAGCCAUGCCGCGUGGAGGAUGAAGGUCCUCUGAUUGUAAACUUCUUUUUAUUUGGGAAGAAAUGUAGAAAAUUUCUUUUCACUUGACGGUACCAGAUGAAUAAGCACCGGCUAACUCCGUGCCAGCCGCCGCCGUAAU
rnacentral:rRNA from 1 species